GACGAACGCUGGCGGCGUGCUUAACACAUGCAAGUUGAACGGAGCACAUCAAGUAGCAAUACGAGGUGUGCUUAGUAGCGGACGGGUGAGUAACGCGUGAGUAACCUACCUUUGUGAGGGGGACAACAGCUGGAAACGGCUGCUAAUACCGCAUAAGGCCACGAUCUCGAGUGAGGAUGUGGUAAAAGAUUUAUCGCACAAAGAUGGACUCGCGUCCCAUUAGCUAGUUGGUGAGGUAACGGCCCACCAAGGCAACGAUGGGUAGCCGACCUGAGAGGGUGAUCGGCCACACUGGAACUGAGACACGGUCCAGACUCCUACGGGAGGCAGCAGUGGGGAAUAUUGGGCAAUGGGCGCAAGCCUGACCCAGCAACGCCGCGUGAGGGAAGAAGGUCUUCGGAUUGUAAACCUCUGUCCUUGGGGACGAAAAAAUGAACGGUACCCAAGGAGGAAGCUCCGGCUAACUACGUGCCAGCAGCCGCGGUAAAACGUCUAACUG
rnacentral:rRNA from 1 species